rnacentral:misc_RNA from 1 species
CAUGUGCCUUGGUUUCAUUGUCAAAUUCAUAUAUAUGGCCACACACAAGCAUUAAGGGUCCACUUUAUUUCCAUAUUAUGAAUUUUGUGGACUAGUCUGCUUUGUUCUUUUUUGAAUUAAUUUAAGAAAUAAUGAAAAAUUACAUCUGAAUUUUCUGAAUGUUUUGAUUUAGUGAUUUCUAGCCAUAAUAUUAUUAGGAAUAUACCUAAAAAAGUUAAUAUAUCAUUAAGCAUAAUUGCACCCUUUUUUUGUUUUACAGAAUUAGCCUACACAAUGCAAG